rnacentral:rRNA from 1 species
GAAGAUGGCGACCGGCGCACGGGUGAGUAACACGUAUCCAACCUGCCGAUAACUCUGGAAUAGCCUUUCGAAAGAAAGAUUAAUACCGGAUGGCAUACGAAUAUCGCAUGAUAUUUUUAUUUAAAGAAUUUCGGUUAUCGAUGGGGAUGCGUUCCAUUAGUUUGUUGGCGGGGUAACGGCCCACCAAGACAACGAUGGAUAGGGGUUCUGAGAGGAAGGUCCCCCACAUUGGAACUGAGACACGGUCCAA